rnacentral:misc_RNA from 1 species
GAAUUAUUAGGGAGCUAGUUUAUGAAAAGGAGGUAAAGAGCAUAAAUUCCAAGCUAAGUAGAACUAAAACAAAAAAUAAACAUUGCAAAUUCAAAAUUGGAAGGGGAAGUGAGCAAGGGACACAUAAUGUUCACAUAAAAUCCAGCACUUGAACUUGCAUUAAGGAGAAAACAGCAUAAAUAUGAGGCUUUGAUGCAUGUAGCAGAUUUGACCGGGAAAACCUCAGGAUCUCACCCUAACUGAGUCAUAAAUUUCAAUAUAUUUCCCAGCUGUUUUGUUCCAGCUAUUGUCAAUUUCCAUAACCUUCUGUACAAUGCCAUUCCACUCAUCUGGUUUGUCUCUAUAGUAAGCAAAUGCACGAUCUAGAGCCCAGUUUAAGGAUCCUUCAUCAAUUCCUUCAAAAACAAACCCAUUAGCUGUCUCACGGUUUGACUGGUCAUCCAUGUCAAAGACAGUGUCUGCAAGGCCACCAGUCUUUCUAACCACCGGUACCGCACCAUAUCGCAUUCCAAUCAUUUGGGAAAGUCCACAUGGUUCAAAUAUGGAUGGAACUAAUACCAUGUCUGCUGCAGCAUAAAGCAAGUGGGAGAGCUCCUCACUAUACAUUAAUAGGAUACGGACUCUGGGACCAUGACUAUGCAACUCUGCAAGAUGUUUGAAUUCUCCUUCAACCCGGCCAUCUGAAGCUUUUCCAAGGACAACCAUCUGCCCACCAAGUUGUUCAACGUACUUAAUUGCAUGGAUAAUCAAAUGAAGACCCUUCUGAGGAACUAGUCUACUUAUACAAACAACCAAGGGGAUCUUAAGCAUUUUAUCCAGCACAUAGUUACCAGCUUCAAUGCUUUCAGAAGCCAUACCAAGUCCCCUUUGUACAUAGUGUUUGCAUAACUUCUUGCCCUCAAUAUUUUGAGCAUUGAACUUGGCAGGCAGGAAAACAUCAGCAGCAGGAUUCCACAUUGCAGUGUCUAUCCCAUUUAAAAUACCAAAGUACUUAUCACGAUGUGUUAUCAAGGUGCUUGCCAACCAUCCAGAGCAGAGUGUUUCCUUGAGAUAUGUUGGAGAGACUGUAACUACUGCAUUGCUGUACACUAUUCCACCUUUCAAUAAG